UACGUAGGGUGCGAGCGUUAAUCGGAAUUACUGGGCGUAAAGCGUGCGCAGGCGGUUCGUUGUGUCGGCGGUGAAAGCCCCGGGCUCAACCUGGGAAUGGCCGUUGAAACUGGCGAACUGGAGUGUGGCAGAGGGGGGUGGAAUUCCACGUGUAGCAGUGAAAUGCGUAGAGAUGUGGAGGAACACCGAUGGCGAAGGCAGCCCCCUGGGUCGACACUGACGCUCAUGCACGAAAGCGUGGGGAGCAAACAGG
rnacentral:rRNA from 1 species